AUUGAACGCUGGCGGCGUGCCUAACACAUGCAAGUCGAGCGGUAACAGGUGUAGCAAUACAUGCUGACGAGCGGCGAACGGGUGAGUAAUGCUUUGGAAUCUUCCCAGUAGUGGGGAAUAACCAGUCGAAAGAUUGGCUAAUACCGCAUACGUCUGUAAAGGGAAAGCGGGGGACUCGCCUCUUCUUCGGAAGAGAGGCCUCGCGCUAUUGGAUGAGCCAAAGCGGAUUAGCUAGUUGGUGGGGUAAGUGGCCUACCAAGGCGACAAUCCGUAGCUGGUCUGAGAGGACGACCAGCCGCACCGGAACUGAGACACGGUCCGGACUCCUACGGGAGGCAGCAGUGGGGGAAGUAAUUGGACAAUGGGGGAAACCCGUGAUCCAGCGACGCCGCGUGUGUGAAGAAGGCC
rnacentral:rRNA from 1 species